rnacentral:rRNA from 1 species
AGCGAACGCUGGCGGCAUGCUUAACACAUGCAAGUCGCACGGGCAGGGGAAACUCUGUCAGUGGCGGACGGGUGAGUAACGCGUAGGUAUCUAUCCAAGGGUGGGGGACAACCGCGGGAAACUGCGGCUAAUACCGCAUGACGAGCCAUUCUGAGAGGGAUGGUUCCAAAGGCUGCAAGGUCGCCUAUGGAGGAGCCUGCGUCCGAUUAGCUAGUUGGU